CGGGUAACUGCUCAUGAAGGGCCCACGAGCAGUGUUGGACCAGGGACUCAGCAGAGAUGGGCUGAGGAAGAUUUUCGGGAGACAACUGGAACAUUUUAAUCCAUGGUACUAAAAGAAAAGCCCUGGUCACCAAGCAGCUGAAAUUAGACAUGUGAAUUAUACAGCUGAUUUCCAGAGGUGGGCAAACACCCCACAGUGCCCAGCAAAGUCCCAGAGAGAUGAGUGGUGAAAGGAGAAAAGGAUAAACCCCCACAUGGUGGUCUCAGGAGCAUAAGGUAAGUUCAGUCACUUAAGCAGGGACAUUUUAAAUCCUGUCUCUGGUGGACAAGCCUUGCUGUGAGGGUGGUGAGGUCUAUGUGCACUUGAUGGUUGAGUGAAAAAAUUGCAAAUGGCUGUCAGAAAUUGCCAUCUGCAUUUUUAUUAGAAAACCUGUACCUACACUUGGAAAUGGUAAGGAUUUGCCAAAGGUUACCAUUGGUUAGAAAGAGUUUUUGAAACUGUGUCUUUAAAGCUGGGCUUAAACUCAGAGAUUUUCACAGGAUGGAGCUGGAUGUUUGUGUGAAUUUAAGUGGCAAGAAUCCUGGGAGGCUCAUCCAGCACUGGCCUGGAUGAAGUCAUGCCCAGGUCAGUGCGGCCCAAGGAUGGUCCUGAUAAGGCAAGAAAGGAAUGAAUAUGAAACAAGAAAUGC
rnacentral:lncRNA from 12 species